UACGUAGGGUGCGAGCGUUAAUCGGAAUUACUGGGCGUAAAGGGCUCGUAGGCGGUUUGUCGCGUCGGGAGUGAAAUCCACUGGCUUAACUGGUGGCUUGCUUUCGAUACGGGCAGACUGGAGGUAUGCAGGGGAGAACGGAAUUCCUGGUGUAGCGGUGAAAUGCGCAGAUAUCAGGAGGAACACCGGUGGCGAAGGCGGAUCUCUGGGCCAAUUACUGACGCUGAGGAGCGAAAGCGUGGGGAGCGAACAGG
rnacentral:rRNA from 1 species